AAACUUAAAAGAAGAAGAAGAAGAAGCAGCCAGAUACUAAGAAUAAUUGAAUUGCUUUGUUCAGUUUUCCACUGUUGUGGUGAGAACAAAAUACAAAUGUGUGUAUAAGUUACAAAAUACAAAUGGUGUAAUUUUGAUGAUUCCACAUAUGAAUUAACUUUACGUUUGCAUUUAAAAGUGGCAUUACAUGGUCAAAAGAUGCAUGGAAAAUCCACGCAAGCAACUUAAAACCUUAACGUGUCUUUUCUUAGCAUGGCAUUGAACGGCAACUAUAAAACAUCGCAAGUUGAGAGGCCGAGGAAGACAAGGAAAAGCUUCAUCUUUCGGUAUCUUCAGUCGUCCUCUUUUCCUCAUUUUGGACAAGGGGCCCAAGGUCUUAUUUUGUACUGGGCUGUACAAAUUGUACAGCCAGCCCUGCUCCCAGAUGAUGCUGAUGUUCCUGGCCCACAGACCACAUUUUGAGGAAGUGAGAGACUAGACCGAGGCUUUGAAGCCAGACAGACCUAUUUUUGUGGCUUAUCAAUGAGGACCAUCUAGCUUGAUCAUACUUAUCCUUCCAGGGGUGGCUAUGUGAAUUCUUACUUUGGGCUUCUAGAGGAUCUGAUCCCAUCUCCGGCUCUGUUUUCCCACCAGCCUCUUGGUUACGCCUCCCAUCAGCAUCGGCUCAACUCCUCUUGUGAAUGAAUGACUGCAGCCCUUCCGGCUUUCCCACUACCCAACCGAGGGAGAACAUCUGCCUCCGAGAACUCCCAGCAACAAUCCUGGGCUUUGCUCUGAUUGGCUGCCUCCUGAACCAAUCCUGGCGGCUACGGGGCAUAGCCGGAAGUUGAAGACCUUAAACCUGAGAUUACCUUUUCACGUUGACAAGACAAAAGCCAUUCUGUUGAUCCAUUUGGGACUUCCUUGCCGACAGUGCAGUUAAUGCCAGACGUAUAAAACACCACAGGCGGGUGGUGAUAAAAGAGCUAUUGGCUGACAACCCAAAUAUUUUCCCUACUCCCGAUGAUGGUUCUGCUAGUAAACAUUUUCUCUUCCACGACUCUGUAGCUAACGAGGCUCUUUGAGAUAAUAGCUCAGUCCUCUCAUUCUAAAUACAGGGAAAUGAGGCCCCAUUGGGAAUAGGAAGGACCCUGUUUAAGAUCACAUAUCUAGUUAGUGACAAAGCUCGCUCUAGACCACAUUGCUUCCAACGUAUUUAGACCCUAAUAUACACUCUGUUGCCUUGUGCUGCCAUUUAAGGAUGUUUCUCUUCUUUAGACACUGACUUCCCAGGGGCCAAAGACAAUAUCCAUCUAUUCCACAGCAUUUAGUUCAGGACUAUAAUGACAGCUUAGCUGAGGAUUGUAAGCAUAUUAAGCAGACUUAAUGUUAGCAGGAUGAGUGAAAGCUAUGUGUAUUACCCAAGUGCCAAGCAAAAGUCCAAUAACAAGUUAGAUGAUUAUUAUUGAUAAGUUAUUACUGUGCUGUGACCAGAGAGAGAAUGUUUUGCCUUUCCUUUAAGUACGAAUGACACUGGAAUUUAACCUAAAAGUCCCAGACUUGUGAAUAAUUUCCAUAUACUAGAAUUUCUUUAUAUCAACUAUAUAACCAUUAUUAUAUGUAUAUAUGUAUACCUAUAUUUCCA